AAUCCAACUAAUGAAAUGUUGGACGGGCAAAAAUAUAUAAGUUAAACCAAGUUUUUUGUUUGAGCUAGUUGAGAAGACAUAUUAUUUUAAGUCUAGAUAAAUCUGUGUUUAAAAUAUUAAAUGAAUGGUUAUUUUCAAAUUCAGUCAACAUUCAGAAUGGCUAGUGUUGACUGAACUAAUUAACACAAAUCAAGUAAAUAUGUGGACUUAUGACAGCAAUGUUUCCUGACAACAAAAUGCUCAUAAUAUUACUGUUAUUUGGUCACAAAAUGUAAUUUUAAGAGUUGUUCAGGCGUGAAUGUAUGUGCUUAAAGUUUAAAUAUGCGGUCGGUUAAUAAAGAUAGCGUCUAUUUAAAAAUGUGCUCGGACACUUUCGGACGUAGAUGAGCUCCAGAAAAUCACAGACACUUAAGCGCUCACACCCCGCCCAGCGCAGCCUUGCCUCGGCAAGCGCAUCAGAAAUCGACUGCUGGCUCUGGUAUCUCUGUGGCGUUUAAACGUGAUUUAAUUCAUUUUAAUUUCUCAUACUUAACAAUGAAAGGGUUAUGUUUAAAUCAUAUUUUAGGAUUGCACUUAAUAUUGCUGUUGAGUGAUGUUUCAUAUCUUUUACAUUUGUUAUAACCGGACUGCAUGCGAAUUUGAACUUCAGAGCUGAAGGAGCGGGUGGAGAAAUAGUCCCAAUAUCAUAACAAUCUUAAAUAAAACUUCUAAAUAUACCCGUGUGUGUACCCGUGUGCGCGCGCACGUGCGCGCGACCCCCUCGCGCGCGCGUGUGUAUGUACAGUAUGUGCGUGAGUUUUUAAUUUAAAAUGUCUUAACUUAACUCGGAAGGAUCUGAAUCACAGGUCAUUUCAUCUGAAAUCAUUCCGCAUGUAACAGCUGGAAUCACUCACUGUUUCCCACAACGACACAAGUCAUCAGCCGUUUCCUCAAGGUCACGUCAGAGCGGUGAUGAUGUGGAAGAGGCAGACCAGAGGGCUGAAGAAAGUCUCCUAAAUGGCCCUGCAGAUGUUCUGACGGACUUUGGAGUGCCUUUUGGACUGUUUUAUGCCCUCUAUUUAGAGAAGACUUAAUUCUGUAUGUUCAGUCUGUAUGAUAAGUGAAUAAAGCUUUUGUUUUUAUGUGA